rnacentral:rRNA from 1 species
UACGGAGGGUGCAAGCGUUGCUCGGAAUCACUGGGCGUAAAGCGACCGCAGGCGGCCUGACAAGUCAGAUGUGAAAGCCCUGGGCUCAACUCAGGAACAGCAUUCGAAACUGGCAGGCUUGAGUACGGGAGAGGGGGGUGGAAUUCCAGGUGUAGCGGUGAAAUGCGUAGAUAUCUGGAGGAACACCGGUGGCGAAGGCGGCAUCCUGGACCAACACUGACGCUGAGUGAGCGAAAGCCAGGGGAGCAAACGGG